GUCGCUGAGUUCUUGUCCGGAGAAGAUGGCCGUGUGAGCUGCUUUACCUUCUUCUUCAGGUGCCUUACACAGUCCACCAAAGCAUGAAUGGUCUUGUCUUGCCACUUACACCACUUUUGGAGAGUGUUCACUCGCAAAUACAGCUUCUUGGUGUGGUAUUCAGGCUCACCCCACACGUAUGGAUCAAAAUGAUAUCGGCCUG
rnacentral:lncRNA from 1 species